UACGAAGGGGGCUAGCGUUGCUCGGAAUCACUGGGCGUAAAGCGCACGUAGGCGGAUUGUUAAGUCAGGGGUGAAAUCCUGGAGCUCAACUCCAGAACUGCCUUUGAUACUGGCGAUCUCGAGUCCGGGAGAGGUGAGUGGAACUGCGAGUGUAGAGGUGAAAUUCGUAGAUAUUCGCAAGAACACCAGUGGCGAAGGCGGACUCACUGGCCCGGUACUGACGCUGAGGUGCGAAAGCG
rnacentral:rRNA from 1 species